GUUUUUGGUCAUAGCACCCUGAUUGUGCCCAAUGUCAUCUGAUCUCGGAAGCUAAACAGGUUUGAGCCUCAUUAGUAUGAAGGUUGGAGACAAUGCUGCUUGAGGGAAAUGGCCACA
rnacentral:rRNA from 1 species